UGGGGAAUAAUGCACAAUGGACGGAAGUCUGAUGCAGCAACGCCGCGUGCGGGAUGACGGCCUUCGGGUUGUAAACCGCUUUUUCUCAUGACGAAGUUUUUUGACGGUAGUGGGGGAAGAAGCACCGGCUAACUACGUGCCAGCAGCCGCGGUGAUACGUAGGGUGCGAGCGUUGUCCGGAAUUAUUGGGCGUAAAGAGCUUGUAGGCGGUUUGUCGCGUCGAUAGUGCAAACUCAGUGCUUAACGCUGAGCCUGCUGUUGAUACGGGCAGACUAGAGGAAGGUAGGGGAGAAUGGAAUUCCCGGUGGAGCGGUGGAAUGCGCAGAUAUCGGGAGGAACACCGGUGGCGAAGGCGGUUCUCUGGGCCUUUCCUGACGCUGAGAAGCGAAAGCGUGGGGAGCGAACAGG
rnacentral:rRNA from 1 species